rnacentral:lncRNA from 1 species
GUCUCACAUCUUGCAAGGGACCAUGGCAAGGUUUGGCAAAAGUGGAGAAUUCCUGUGAACAUCUGCCCCAGGGAAAGGAAUGUCCUCAGGUUUGGCAGCAGGAGCCGGCUUCUCUCAGAGAAUGCCUGGUUUGUGAAUCACCCGGAACAGUCAACUACAGGUUAUAACUGACUGAACCUAACUUUGUUUGCUAUCUUAGAAGCCACCUAGAAAGCAGAAAUGGGAAUGGAAUUGACCAUCUGUAUCCUUACUAAUGGGCAAACUCCCCAAGUGCCUUUUUUGUCUCCCUCGGACUUGGACAUCUUUUCUUUUCUUUUCUUUUCUUUUCUUCUUUUUAAAGAUUUAUAUAUUUUAUGUAUGUGAGUAUACUGUCUCUGUUUUUGGACAUCUCAGAAGCAUCAGGUCCCAUUACAGAUGGUUGUGAGCCACCAUGUGGUUGCUGGGAAUUGAACUCAGGACCUGGGGAAGAGUAGACAGUGCUCUUAAUGGCUGAGCCAUCUCUCCAGCCCUAGACAGUUUCUUUUUAUAAGUUAGCUGGAACACUUAAAAAGUGGAAGCCAUUGGAUGGCAUGAAGGCUCUCUCUCUCUCUCUGUGUGUGUGUGUGUGUGUGUGUGUGUGUAUUUCUUUCUUUUUGUUUUUUCCAGAUAGGAUUUCUCUGUAUACUCCUGUCUAUCUGUCCUGGAACACGCUCUGUAGACCAGGCUAGCCUCAAACUCACAGAGAUCCUCCUGCCUCUGUCUCCCGAGGGCUGGGAUCAAAGGUGUGCCGCCCAACCGCAGGGCACAUAAAGGUAUUUCUAAGCAUCUUUACAACCACCCUUGGCUAUAGAUGACACACGGCUGUGCCAUGAACAUCAGAGGUUUGUAGCUGUGCAUUCAUUGCGGUGCAUCAUAACCAAGAUUCAGAAUGUUAAUUAAGUUACAAUUUCAUCCCCAGAGUCACCGAGUUCCCAUAAACUGCAUGGAACAGUACUUCCUUUUUGACUGCUUUUCAGAGUGAAUGAAGAAGAGGAAGAGAGGAUUGUGGCUUAUCAGAGAGUUCACACAGGAAGGACACAGCGGGCGUUGUGUUUGAUAGACAGUCCUUUUGACCCCUGGCAGGAGAGGCAUUGGUAAAGCGUAACACAGCCUCGCCACUGACUGUGAGCCCUGUCUGUCCACCCGUAACUCUGGGAAUGAGGGAAGCAAAGCCAAUUCCAGAGGUACAGACAAAGAGUACCCUUCCCACGGAGCCCGCAUGAUAAGUGGCCCCAGAGAGCAUCCCUGUGAUCAGUCAGAGAGGCAGGCAAGUUAUUAGCUUAGCCCUGAACCUCCCACUUAAUGUAGGACCAGUGGUGAUGUUUAACAGACCCUGGCCGCGGUGACAAGCCUGGGACCUGCUCGAGGAAAUCCAAUUGAAAGGCAGCCAAGAGGAACAACAAGCUAGAAACAGAUGUUCUGGCCACCAGGAUGUACACACAUUUAACCUGAACGAGUGGCUGGAGGGAUAUAGCCAAGAGCGCUCACUCUCAAUACAGGGGGUGUCAUCCCUUCCCCAAUAUACCGAUUGUCAAGUUCAAUUACAACCAUCCACAUUUGUUUUGUCAAAUUUUUAGCAGUUCCUUUAAAAUAAGAUGUCAAACUGAUAAUAACAGCUAUUCAAGGAAUUCAAGAAACUUGAUUUAUCUACUGGAUUUUUACUAAAACAUUUCAGUAAAGUCACACACUCCAGUUUCACAGUAACUGAAAAUUAUUAUUAUUAGUUUUUUAAAGCCACCUGGAUGAAGUUCAGCUCCUCUAACAUUCUGUGUCUUAGUGGCACUUAGUUGAAACAUCUGUUAGGAGUUCUGUUUCUGCCCAUCCUUGUUUAGUUAGUCCUUGUCACUUAAAUCAGGGAAGGUACACUGGUAAACACAAACAGAGAUCCUCAAACACGAGUGUCGCAAGUCACUUAAUGUGACCUGGACACAGAUGGGAACACCUGAACAUCAGCAAUAUGUCUGUCACUCUCCUUUGAAAACAUUCCCUGCAUGGUUCUGCUGUUCUCCAACAGGCCUUGUAAAAGGCCGACAGGCUCACUGUCUUGAUUUUCCUCAAGGAAGAAAAACCCAUACGCACUCCAAUGGAUCCUAACCAGAUCUAAUGUAGAACAGCUGUGUGCUUAUGAAUGAAUGCAUGGGGAAGAUUGAAAAGCACAAAUUAACUCAUCCCACACAAGAGCCAGGUUUGAUCAGACACAUUUCUGGGGUCACCAAGUUCCUAUCUGCUCGUGGAUUAUCUAUCGGAAUAUGUCAUUCCGCAGAGAAGGGAGCAGCUAAAGGGAGCCUGCCCUGCCCUGUUCUGCCUGUGUGUGCUCUGAGACAUCCCAGGGGUAUUUACAAGCUGGGUGAUCUUAAGUGAUGCUUGCUUAAAAUCCAAGAACGACAGCAGAAAUAAAUUAACUGGAGAAUCU